AUUGAACGCUGGCGGAAUGCUUUACACAUGCAAGUCGAGCGGCAGCGCGGGGGCAACCCUGGCGGCGAGCGGCGAACGGGUGAGUAAUACAUCGGAACGUGUCCUUAAGUGGGGGAUAGCUCGGCGAAAGCCGGAUUAAUACCGCAUAAGCUCUGAGGAGGAAAGCGGGGGAUUCGCAAGGACCUCGCGCUGUUGGAGCGGCCGAUGUCGGAUUAGCUAGUUGGUGGGGUAAAGGCCCACCAAGGCGACGAUCCGUAGCUGGUCUGAGAGGAUGAUCAGCCACACUGGAACUGAGACACGGUCCAGACUCCUACGGGAGGCAGCAGUGGGGAAUAUUGCGCAAUGGGCGAAAGCCUGACGCAGCGACGCCGCGUGGGUGAUGAAGGCCUU
rnacentral:rRNA from 1 species